rnacentral:rRNA from 1 species
GAUGAACGCUGGCGGCGUGCUUAACACAUGCAAGUCGAACGGAAAGGCCCAAGCUUGCUUGGGUACUCGAGUGGCGAACGGGUGAGUAACACGUGGGUGAUCUGCCCUGCACUUCGGGAUAAGCCUGGGAAACUGGGUCUAAUACCGGAUAGGACGAUGGUUUGGAUGCCAUUGUGGAAAGUUUUUUCGGUGUGGGAUGAGCUCGCGGCCUAUCAGCUUGUUGGUGGGGUAAUGGCCUACCAAGGCGUCGACGGGUAGCCGGCCUGAGAGGGUGUACGGCCACAUUGGGACUGAGAUACGGCCCAGACUCCUACGGGAGACAGCAGUGGGGAAUAUUGCACAAUGGGCGCAAGCCUGAUGCAGCGACGCCGCGUGGGGGAUGACGGCCUUCGGGUUGUAAACUCCUUUCGCUAGGGACGAAGCGUUUUUGUGACGGUACCUGGAGAAGAAGCACCGGCUAACUACGUG